rnacentral:snRNA from 1 species
GGCUCUGAGUGUGGUCUGACUGUGACAUCAGCAUCCCCACUGAUUACUAGGGUUGUUUCAACUGAUUUGGCUGACUGGUCUGGGGUCCAUAUACUUCAUUCACAGCCCUAAAAGCUGGGCAUUGGUGGAGGACGAUGACAUCCCCAGGGAGAUCGAACCUUUUUUGUCAAAAUGGAAAUGACUUUUUUUUUUUUUUCUUUCAGAAUGCCUUGAUUCAACCUGUGACUAAAGGUCUAAUAGACUACUUUAAAAUGAAAGGCAAAAUUGUCUAACCAAAUGUGGCUGGAAAUUAUGUUUU